GUGAGGAGACAACUUUUCCCAACUUUUAUUUGUCAGGCUACUCUCCCCAAGAAGCGCAUCUAAAAUGUCGAACUCUUCUGGGCAAAAGAAGAUAAGUGGAAUAGCUAGUGGCGACGUAUGUUGUGAAAAAAUGUUCAGAUAUAUAGCAUACAUAUAUCAUGCGGUCACGCAAUUGAAUGUCGUAUGCAUCGUUCACGUGCCCAGGCGUAACUAUAUCUUACUCUUUGCAGCUGUAUUGGCGUAACAGG